rfam:Camelus ferus unplaced genomic scaffold scaffold406, whole genome shotgun sequence.
GAGGAUAUAGCUCAGUGGUAGAGUGCAUGCUUAGCAUGCACAAGGUCCUGGGCUCAUUCCCCAGUACCUCCU